rnacentral:misc_RNA from 1 species
UGCGCGAUUGUAAGCCAAUAAGGCCAUUUCCUCUGCUGUUUGUUGGCUACAAUAAUUAGUAGGAACCUUGCCAAGUAAUUGAAUCAUGGACAUUCUGGAGUAGGGUACCAGAGCUUCAAGCACUGUAUUUGUAGCACCGGGCACUGCCAUCAACCAGCCCAGCGCCUGAGAGGCACCGCCGGAGAGAUAAAGGACGGCCUGAGUGGGGGUGGAAUGUAUGCCUUCAACUAACGCUGGAAUCCAAGCUUCCAUCAUUGUCUUCAUCUCGAUUAAAUUCAAUCUCUACUUUAAAUUUAUCCCUUCUUCUUGUGGGGCAAAGAGGACAUAAACAUAUAUUCG